rnacentral:lncRNA from 1 species
UAAUGCAUGUUUUUUAUUUAUGAUUGAUUGUAUUCGAUAUAUAGAGAUUUGGAACUUGCUGAUAAUCAUUUUUUUAUUUACAUAAAACUGAUUGUGAUACUUUAUUUUGUCAUAUUGUUGUGAAGCACCUGAAAAUAAAGGGUGAUAAGAUACUUUCUAAAAAUUAAGUUUAACUUCUGUAUGUUGUCUCAUCUGUAGGGCAAACUGUCAAUUCCUUUUCUCUAAAGUACAAUUUAAAAGUUAAUUGGUAAACAUGACUAAGUCACACGUGUUUCACUAAUGUUGGGGGAAGAAACUUCACCACUGAAGUACUGAAACAUACAUUGCUGGAAGAAAUCACCAAGGUAACAUGCAGGACGUUAAUGCUCAGCAGUCAGUUUUUCAUGCAUCUUAAAUUUUGAGAAGUGCUUCCAUUUUCUUUUCUUGGUAGUUUCUUCUAAAGAAUGCUGUAGCCCAGAACUUGGAAAAAAGAAGGCUUUUAACCGUGCUGCAGGAAUGACAGAUACUGUUAAAAGAAUGAGGCAGAUAGCAAAUAUAUUUACCUCAGUGUGGCUCCAUGAUAAUCUUCCAGUUACUUCCACUUGAUUUCUUGGCACUUCUGGAAGAAUAAAAAGAACUUGAGAAGAUUAAAAGUACUGCAGACCCCAGAGAGGAGGACAAUCAAGGAGGAAAGCCAACUGCACUGGAGUUGAGGACUUUAAGGCCUGCCUGGAUGUGAUUACUUCAGAGUGGGCCAGAAGGAGUAUUGGUACAUGGGCCCCAAAUGUAACCACCUUUGGAACACUAGAUUUGAUUUUUAGUAAUUAUUCUUCCUGCAGUAGCACUGGUUAUCAUAGUUGUAAUAUUUUACUCUUUCUACUACUGUAAAAGUGAAAAAGCUGGGAUGACUGGGUUGGACAAAUUCCAAAAGGUGGACUGAGAAGACAAGAUUGUGAUGAUGUCCCAACCCCAAGUCAAUUAGAGAAUUAGAGGUAUGCUGCUGUUUUUCUAUAUUUUUUGCUCAUUUUCACUUUAUGCUCUGGUUUGGAGAUUUAAGAAUGCCUUUGUAGCUUUGCCAGUGGCAGAGCAACUGACAAAGAUCUAGUAAAUGGCUAAGCUUUUGCUUGGAUUAUUCACAUACAUUUUGU